rnacentral:rRNA from 1 species
UACGUAGGCAGCGAGCGUUGUUCGGAGUUACUGGGCGUAAAGGGCGCGUAGGCGGGAUGGCAAGUCAGUCGUGAAAUCUCUCGGCUCAACCGAGAAACGUCGGCUGAUACUGCCGUUCUUGAGGGAUGCAGAGGAGACUGGAAUUCCCGGUGUAGCGGUGAAAUGUGUAGAGAUCGGGAGGAACACCGGUGGCGAAGGCGGGUCUCUGGGCAUUUCCUGACGCUGAGGCGCGAAAGCGUGGGGAGCAAACGGG